rnacentral:rRNA from 1 species
GACGAACGCUGGCGGCGUGCUUAAUACAUGCAAGUGGAGCGACGAACCAGGGCUUGCCCUGGGGCAGAGCCGCGAACGGGUGAGUAACACGUGGGUAACCUGCCUCGAUGACCGGGACAACCCGAGGAAACUCGGGCUAAUACCGGAUGUGCUCUCCUCACAUCAGUGGGAAGAGGAAAGGAAGCUUCGGCCUCCGCAUCGGGAUGGGCCCGCGGCCCAUUAGCUAGUUGGUGGGGCAAUGGCCUACCAAGGCUUCGAUGGGUAGCUGUUCUGAGAGGAAGAUCAGCCACACUGGGACUGAGACACGGCCCAGACUCCUACGGGAGGCAGCAGUAGGGAAUCUUGCGCAAUGCGCGAAAGCGUGACGCAGCAACGCCGCGUGCGGGAAGACGGCCUCGG